rnacentral:rRNA from 1 species
AAGUCGUAACAAGGUUUCCGUAGGUGAACCUGCGGAAGGAUCAUUAUUGAAUUUUCAUAAACUGGCUUUCCUUCUAGUGCUGGCAUUUGCAAGUGCACAUUUAGGGAGUCUUUUUAUUAAUCCAAUCUACACCUGUGAACUAUGAGAGUGUAGCCUUUCUCGAGAGGCAUGACUCUUCUUUUUUUACCACAAACACUAUAUAUAUUAAAAAGAAAUCAAUCAUUAUAAAAUAAUAAUACAACUUUCAACAACGGAUCUCUUGGCUCUCGCAUCGAUGAAGAACGCAGCGAAAUGCGAUAAGUAAUGUGAAUUGCAGAAUUCAGUGAAUCAUCGAAUCUUUGAACGCACCUUGCACCCUUUGGUUUUCCACAGGGUAUGCCUGUUUGAGUAUCAUGAAACUAUCAAGACCUUUCAUUUAUUUGAAAUCAGUCUUGGACUUGGGUGUUUAUGCCGUGCUCUAGUCCUCGGCUCAUCUGAAAUAUAUUAGCUGGAUCCAUUAUACCAACUUGGUUCUUACUCAGCGUGAUAAUUGUCAUUCGCUGAGGACACUUCGGUGGCCAGGCAAUUUAGUGGCUUAUCUGCUUCCAACCGUCUCUUUACUGAGACAAAAAAAAAUACUUUUAUGAAUCUGAUCUCAAAUCAGGUAGGACUACCCGCUGAACUUAAGCAUAUCAAUAAGCGGAGGAAAAGAAACUAACAAGGAUUCCCCUAGUAACGGCGAGUGAAGCGGGAACAGCUCAAAUUUAAAAUCUGGUGGUCUUUGGUCACCCGAGUUGUAGUCUAGAGAAGUGUUUUCUGUGCUGGACCAUGUACAAGUCUCUUGGAACAGAGCGUCAUAGAGGGUGAGAAUCCCGUCCUUGACAUGGACCCCCAGUGCUAUACGAUGCACUCUCAAAGAGUCGAGUUGUUUGGGAAUGCAGCUCAAAAUGGGAGGUAAAUUCCUUCUAAAGCUAAAUAUUGGCGAGAGACCGAUAGCGAACAAGUACCGUGAGGGAAAGAUGAAAAGCACUUUGGAAAGAGAGUUAAACAGUACGUGAAAUUGUUGAAAGGGAAACGCUUGAAGUCAGUCUUGUCUUCUGGGACUCAGCCUUGCCUUGUGCUUGGUGCAUUUCCUAGUAAACAGGCCAGUGUUGAUUUUGAUCGCUGGAAAAAGGCAGAGGGAAAGUGGCACUCUUCGGGGUGUGUUAUAGCCCUCGGUCAUAUGCAGCGGUUGGGAUUGAGAUUUAACAGCAUGCUUUUAGUGGUGCUUUUACUGGCAUAAUGGCUUUAAACGACC